UCAGUUAUACGGGACAUUCGAAGCCGCUUCUAUUCAGUCUUCCUGCAUCACUCCAGCUGAAUGCAGCAGACCGCUUUGGAGAGUUUAAUAGUGUUGUGUUCUAUACUUCAAUAACUUGGUGGUAAUUCUGGAAUUCCAGAUGAUGGCAGCAUCUGUUGUCACCAUAUUCGUUGCUGUCUUCGUGAUAGUCACUGUUAUAGAGGAAGCUCAAGCUGUGUGUUGUAAAGCAGACAAGAACGGGUGGUGUGCGGACUGUACUCCGACAACUCCAUAUUGUGGAUAUGGGAAGUGUAACAUAUUCGGCUGUGCUUGCAAAGGAGGCUGCAGAAAGAACUGCAACCCCGUGUACAGCGAUAAAUAUCGUCCACCGCCUUUCUGGGUAAGCUAUUACCGAAAAUGCAGAUGCCAAAACACAAGGUCUGUGGAAGAUGAGACCGGGGGAGGUACUGUCGCUAGAGAAACAUACCUUAAUUGAUGCACAUCUAGACGGAUUGCAGAGAAGAAAGAAGCUCAGAAGAUACAUAGCGAUAUUCAGACAAAAUAAAUUUAUGCUGUCGAGUAUGACAAUAGCACAGAUUAUCAAUUGGUAUUCUUUGAAUCUCUUUCAUUUUUGAUUUUCACUCAAAUUAAUACUCAGUUUUGAUAAAAUGUUAAACCAUCUGCCGUAUUUUUCAAUGAUUUUGUGAGAUGAUGUUUGCGACUUUAACAGGAAAUACAGGAUUUUUAAAGGGUU